rnacentral:misc_RNA from 1 species
CUGCGAGUUCGCGGGAGAGUAAGUUAUUGCCAGGGUUUUUAUUUUAUAUUUUAAAUGUUGAUUUUAUUUUUUAUGUUUUUAGAUGUUCAUGUUUUUGAAUGUUUUAUUCAAAUAAUAUAAAAAAUAAAAUAUAUAUUGACAUGGAUUAAACAAAGAUAUAUAUUAUUCUAUGUUGCAUAAACAAAUUGGCAAAAUAGAGAUGGAAGAUAAAAAUAUGGUCAAAGUAAUAAGAGUCUAUGGUGAAUGCCUAGGA